UCUAAGAGUUUCUUAUAAGUAUUUCAUGUUUAUUUGUAAGUUGUAUUUAAAAAAUACUAGCGGACAAUUUUAUUUCCUGUGCGGCCGCGCUAACUUCCGGUUUCCGUUUCAUGGUAAACAGAGCAGGCGAAUUCCAGCAUGGUAUGGUCAGCGAUCUGUUGCCAUUCUCAUUAAAGCACUGUCAAGUCAAUGCCUUUUCACCAUCUGGAGAAGAAAUUAAAAUGCAAAAACGUCCCUUGUGGUCCUGGUCUUCCUCAGUGGUUUAUCUACGUGUUCAUUUGGCAACAUAACAAUAGUAGUAAUG